UGUCCCAACAAUGGACUGAGAUACCUUGUGGGUGGUGUUGUCCUUAUAGUGGUCAGGGACAAAGUAAAUAGUCAUCUUUUGUUCAUCCUAGCUUGAUGCCUGGCUUGAUGGCCAAAGCUAUCUUAUGUCUAGAACUCAUAA